rnacentral:rRNA from 1 species
GCCUACGGCCAUACCACCCUGAACACGCCCGAUCUCGUCUGAUCUCGGAAGCUAAGCAGGGUCGGGCCUGGUUAGUACNUGGAUGGGAGACCGCCUGGGAAUACCGGGUGCUGUAGGCU